rnacentral:rRNA from 1 species
AGGACGAACGCUGGCGGUGUGCUUCACACAUGCAAGUCGAACGAGGUAGCAAUACCUAGUGGCGGACGGGUGAGUAACGCGUGGGAAUCUGCCUUUAGAUGGGGGAUAACGGGCCGAAAGGUCCGCUAAUACCGCAUAGGCCGCAAGGUUAAAGGAGUAAUCCGUCUAAAGAUGAGCCCGCGUCCGAUUAGCUAGUUGGUAGGGUAAAAGCCUACCAAGGCGACGAUCGGUAGCUGGUCUGAGAGGAUGAUCAGCCACAAUGGGACUGAGACACGGCCCAGACUCCUACGGGAGGCAGCAGUGGGGAAUAUUGGACAAUGGCGCAAGCCUGAUCCAGCCAUGCCGCGUGAGUGAUGAAGGCCCGUAGGUUGUAAAGCUCUUUCGUCAGGGACGAUAAUGACGGUACCUGAAGAAGAAGCCCGCUAACUUCGUGCCAGCAGCCGC